UCUCUCUGGGUUCUCUUCAGAUUGAAUUAUGCUUUUGCUUUUUGCUAGAGUUUUCGUGAAGUGGAACUUUCAUGAGCUAAAAUAAAUUUUUGAGGCUCUGCUUAUGCAGGGC